UGGAUGGGGUGGAGUUGAUAGGAGAGGUAUUCCUCCCCCUAUGCCACUUCGAGAUAGAGCAAAAGGUUGCUGCAGACCCUCCCCAGGGAGCCCUGCUGACCUGAUGCAAAGAUAAGAUAACCCGUGGACUUUAGAUGACCUGCAAGGGGCUCCCAUUGUUUAACUGAAAGGAGGAAAGGCGGUUGAAGAUGGGGGAGGGUGCAGAGCUGUUCACAAGAGAACACAAUUCCAAAGGAAGGCUCCUGAAGAGCUCGCCAUUGCUUUCAAGGGACCAGGUUCCCAAGACCUGGGAUUAGGCUUGCCUUUAUCUGUGUGUCCUAAACAGACACCCUCUUUAUGUAAUCCUUUCCUUGAACUCUGGCCUGGGCAAGGUGACACCCAGGCUCUAUCUCUUCAUUCACAGGCUCACUAUUGAGCACCAACUGUCACCCUUCUUCUACCUGUGGGACACACAAUGACAGAGAAGAUGGACCAGAGCCUGCUCCGUGGACCUCUCCAUUGAGAGCUGCAGAGAUGGAACAAUGUAGAGAUGAUUAUCAAGAGGCAGAGCAGCAGUGAUGACGUCAGAGAGCAGCGGAUAGGAAGAAAGAGAGAUAGAUGAUAGACCGGCGUGGGGUGGAGGCUGAGACAAAGCUGAACUUUCCUCACUUACGUGAAGUCUGGAAACCUCUUCAGCCCUUCAUCCGCACCCAGUCACAACCAUCUAAUGUUCCAGGUCUCCUUGUCUGGCAACCUUCCAACUCAGAGCAGACAGAUUUGAGGCUGAGGGAAUGUCCUCUGCUCAGGGGUUAGAGACCGCUGAAGAGGAAAAUUCUGGGAGCAGCUUUUUCACAGCAGAAUCUUGCUCCAAGGGUGUGACUGGGUUUGGGUAGGAAACAGAUAGAGGAGGCACUUCAUUUGGAGGCAGCCCCCUGCCUGCUGCUCUCUCUCGGUCUCCAAUGCAGAACAUUUGGGGUAGCAUCAGUUCAGUCUCUGUCGAGGCUUCCUGAAGGUAUAGUAAGUGGCUCCCAAAGGGGCCCAGAGACAGCUUAGAAGCAGUCAACAAUAAAUUGGACAAAACUCCCCUCCCUUCCCCAAGCACCUAGUUUAAGAUCCUCUCUUUGCAUAUGAUAAAACUAAGGGACACAGGAGAAGGUGCUCACCCAUGAAACCACUGAAUGGCUCCCAUCUUAGGUUUUAACCAAGGCUUUUGGGCAUCAACAGGGCACUUACUUCUUAUUCUGCCUCUCAUGGACUUUGGCCUGUUGGGUGCCAGCACAAUGCACGUGCAAAGGAUUGUUAUCAACAGCUUUAGGGGUCUAGCUGAGGCCCUAAGCCUAUUUAGCUCUCCAGACUUAGAGGAGAGUCUGGUGGCCCAUGUUUCUAGAAGGAGAAGCUAAAAUCACCCCAUCCUGGUAGUGUUUCAGAGUCCAGCAAGAAUCCCCAGUGUUGAGGAACUGGAAGUCUUUUGAGUCGACACUGGUGGCAUAUCGUGCUUUUCCGACCAGCCUUCUUGGCCCCGGACACAAAGCUCAUCUCUGUCCCUUAUCAGUUACUAGAUUCCCCUUCACCUCGUGUGUUUUUAGGAGCCUCAGAGCUCUGAUUCUUACUAUGGUCAGCUCCUCUCUUACAUCCUUAGCUGGCAGACCAGAAAUAAAACAUAUGACACAAUGAACACCAGCUCAGUGCUCUGCACAAAGCUGUUCAUCCAGUGUAUCAUGCCAUCUUGGUUACCAUUAUCCUUGGUGUUUUGGUCCAGGGACCUGAAGAUGCACAUUCUCAUGGAUGUUCACACUCUGGCUUGAGAUGUCUGACCGUGAAAGGCAGCCUGGUUCCGGGAGAUCCACUGUGGGUAGGUGUGAAGAAGAGCAGCUGUCUAAUCUCCCGUAGAAGUCCUCUCUAUGCCCCAAGCCAUGGCCACCAAGCUCAAGCCCGCCACUACCAACAAGCCAAGGACUCUCUCCUCACUCUCUCCCCGAGGGACCAGUCAGAGCUCUCCUGUCUUUUCUCCUUCGGCCCUGGGCUAGAUCCAGCCCGAGGGUCCCCACUCCGUUUUCAGCUCUUCCGUGGCAUACAGUGGCGCCUGGGUGCCCAAGAGCCUAGGAACCAGACAGCGCCGGCCUCCCUGCAGGCCCCGGGGACCCCCAAGCCAGUUCUGGCUGUCCCAUACCUCAGACUGUGCUGUCUCCCCACCCACCAGUGGUGUUCCGGGGCUGCUCUACAGCCGGACACCCGCUCAGCGACAGGGAGGGGUAAGUGCAGUCGACUUCCUGCGUUCUGCCUCCCCUAGCAGCCGAGCCCUGUGCGGGACCCAUAACCCUACAGACACUGUUGAUGGAACAACUGAGGGACCAUCUCUUGUCAAUAUCCAAGCUCUGAAAUGUUUCCCUAUGAAGAUUCCUUUACUCUCAACUGGAUCUCUGUAAACACUAGCUGUUUGGCAACCUGGCCAAUUGCAAAGACAGAACUAGAAGAACCAAGUGGAAACGGAGGAACUCAGCCUGCUUCCUCCACUCACCACAGUGAUGUUAAGGCCAGUCUUGGCUGGCUCAAGGCCUCCUGUUUGUUCAGCAAGUGUGUGUGGUAGGGAAACUGUUGUUGCAAUUUGAAUGUGAACUGUACCCGAUGGGCACAUGUGUUCAAAUGCUUGGUCCCAGCUAGAGGCAGGCCUCGAGGAGGACCCAGCUGGAAGAAGCAGACCUGAGAGGCGGGCCUUGCGGUUUCUAAGCCGGGCCCUACUUCUCUCUCUGCUUCCUGGCUGCAGGCACAACACAGAUAGCUGCCUCGCCCUUCUACCACCAUAAUGCAUCCCUUCAAGUUGUAAGUCUAUGUAAACCCUUCUUCCCUUAAGUUGCUUCUUGUCAGGUAUUUGGUAGGAGUGGUAAAGAAAGUAACUGAACUGUCUA